rnacentral:rRNA from 1 species
UACGGGGGGGGCAAGCGUUGUUCGGAAUUACUGGGCGUAAAGGGCUCGUAGGUGGCCAACUAAGUCAGACGUGAAAUCCCUCGGCUUAACCGGGGAACUGCGUCUGAUACUGGAUGGCUAGAGGAUUGGGAGAGGGAUGCGGAAUUCCAGGUGUAGCGGUGAAAUGCGUAGAUAUCUGGAGGAACACCGGUGGCGAAGGCGGCAUCCUGGACCAAUUCUGACGCUGAGGAGCGAAAGCCAGGGGAGCAAACGGG